UACAGAGGGGGCAAGCGUUAUUCGGAAUUAUUGGGUGUAAAGGGCGCGUAGGCGGCUUUUCAAGUGACGGGUGAAAUCCCUCGGCUUAACCGAGGAACUGCCUGUCAGACUGGAAGGCUUGAGACCGGGAGAGGUGAGUGGAAUUCCCAGUGUAGCGGUGAAAUGCGUAGAUAUUGGGAGGAACACCAGUGGCGAAGGCGGCUCACUGGACCGGAACUGACGCUGAGGCGCGAAAGCGUGGGGAGCAAACAGG
rnacentral:rRNA from 1 species